rnacentral:rRNA from 1 species
AUACGUAGGGGGCGAGCGUUGUCCGGAAUGACUGGGCGUAAAGGGCGUGUAGGCGGUUGAAUAAGUCUGGGGUGAAAGUCCCGGUUUCAAGUUGGGGACUGCUUUGGAUAAUGUUCAACUUUAGUGCGGAAGAGGUAAGUGGAAUUUCCAGUGUAGCGGUGAAAUGCGUAGAGAUUGGGAGGAACACCAGUGGCGAAGGCGACUUACUGGGCCGUAACUGACGCUGAGGCGCGAAAGCGUGGGGAGCGAACAGGAUUAGAUACCCUGGUAGUCCACGCGGUAAACGAUGAAUGCUAGGUGUUGCGGGUAUCGACCCCUGCAGUGCCGGAGUAAACACAAUAAGCAUUCCGCCUGGGGAGUACGGCCGCAAGGUUGAAACUCAAAUGA